GGACCUCAGAGAGUGGUGACACACUGGAAUACGUUGCCCAAGGAGGUUGUGGAUGACCCGUCCCUGGAGGCAUUCAAGGCCAGGCUGGAUGUGGCUCUGGGCAGCCUGGCCUGGUGGUUGGCAACCCUGCACAUAGCAGGGGAGAUGAAACUCGAUGAUCAUUAUGGUCCUUUUUAACCCAGGGCAUUCUAUGGUUCUGUGAUUUUAUGACACAGCAGGUGUGGGAGGAGAUGUGUGGCUCUUCCCAUAUGCAUGGAGAUGAGCUUCCUCCCAUGUGUGUGUUUUUAAUGAGGGAGCCUGAAUAAGUGAGGGAGCCCAAAUUCUGCCCCUUUUAGGCUGUGUGGGCUGGCUGAUCAAGUUGAGGUCAAUAAAUGAGCAGGAAAUAGCUGAAGAAAAGAUUUUGCUCAUUGAAUUCUGUCGCAUUACAAGCAUUUUUAUUUUACGAUCUCUUUUAUUGCCUUUGGAUGUAUGGCAAGUACGUAUCUCCCAAGGACUCGGCCGCCGUGCUCACAGCGGGUUCUGCAGCCACCGAGGGGAGGUGCCCCUGGAAGAGCCUGCAGCUUUCAACUGGCGACAACCCCAGGCAGUCAUGGGAGCCACGGUAUGAGUAUGUCCAUACAAAACAAUCCAUGCUCUAGGUGCAACCCAUACUGUGGCCUUCACUCUUCCAAAGGAUAGGUUGCAAGGAUUUUUCAUCUUCUUCCCCUGUUGUACAAUUUCCCUGAUGAAAGACUCCUUGGGGAGUUAGGAAGGAUGUGAAGGAUGGUGGGUCGCUCCAGGCUGCCAUCACACAGCCACAGGGAACUGUUUGUCAUGACUUCAGUUAUUUGGUAUCAGUUCCUCUUUAUACAAGGAUAUUGUGAAGCAAGGUCGCUGUUCUUCAUGCACAAAGCCCAUUUACAUUACAGAAAUAAAAAAAUCCUUGAGUGAAGAAGAGUGCAUCACUUGCUAGCAAUGCACUUCAGCAGAACAAAUGAAGUUUUAUUCUUAGCACUAAAUCAGCAAUAGGCCUUCAGGAAUCAAAACAUAUAAAACCUGGAUAUAUCUUAAGAGAUUCCCUGUGUAUAUGAAAUUUUUCUGUUUUCUAUUUUUUUUUUUUUUUUAAGAUUUUUUUAUCUAGAUUAGAUAUCAUAGUGACAGGAAAGUUUUGUGCUUUCAGCUUUUAUUGGCUCAUGGUUGAAAUGCAUGGUUCACAAAACUGAAUAGGCUUGAACAAGUAGUGAGAAUUCCCAUGUUGGCAAAGCUGAGUCUAAAAGCCACAAGCUCAUUCUACAUGACUGAUAUGAAUGAAAACAUAAUUCUGAUUGAAUUAUGCCUUUGUUUUUAUAUACAUCAGGAAGUUCACACCUACUGUCAUUCAUACCAUCCAUAAGCUAUUUGUGAUUGUAAGCCAAUCGUUCUGCUGCGUUGUGUGCUGUACAUAAGCUGACCCUGCCUGUAAAUAAUCCUCCAUAUGUAGAAAACCUUCUUAUGAAGAAAUAUUGCCUGAAGAUGUGAGUGAAAUCUCAGACUUGUGGAAAUCAGCAGCAACAGCUCCUUCAGUUCUGUGGAAACCCAGAUUUCACCCUCUCCAGCCUGUUUUUUCACAGAUAAUGGCUAUGGUUGGAUUGGAGAGUUGCUGGUGGGGCUGUGCUGAGCUGAGUGUCACCUCUUCUCUUUUGGUCCACUUUGUGUUGUACCAGAGUGUUUGAUUUGUAGUUUCUUUGAUGUAGAGCUGAGCAUUCGGGAUAUUUUGGCUUUGUGAGAGGCUUCUAUUUUUUCAAUAAAAGUCAGACUAAUUUUAAA
ensembl:lncRNA